rnacentral:tRNA from 1 species
GCCUCGAUAGUUUAAAGGUUUAGGACGCUUGUACGGAAUACAAGAGAUCCGGGUUUGAUUUCCGGUGAAGGUA